rnacentral:rRNA from 1 species
UACAGAAGUCCCGAGCGUUGUUCGGAUUCAUUGGGCGUAAAGGGUGCGUAGGCGGUUUCCUAAGUUUGAUGUGAAAUCCCGGGGCUUAACCCUGGAAUUGCAUUGAAUACUGGGAGACUAGAGUACUGGAGAGGAAACUGGAAUUUACGGUGUAGCAGUGAAAUGCGUAGAGAUCGUAAGGAAGACCAGUGGCGAAGGCGAGUUUCUGGACAGUUACUGACGCUGAGGCACGAAGGCCAGGGGAGCAAACGGG